rnacentral:piRNA from 1 species
UAUGAAUCAAUGAAGGCUGUGCGCGUGC